AACCCCGGUCCGACCUGCGCUCCCUAUGAAGUACCCACUGGGGAGAAAGCACCUUGCCAAGCCCCACCCGUCCCUCCCGCCGGGCAAACUCACUCCCGCGAGUGAAUAUGCCCAACUGGGCUGGAUUCGGGACCGGUUGCCUGGCUUACGCUCACCGCAGCAAGGCACGACCCCAGACAUGGGACGGCCCUCGCCGGGACUGGCAUCCCAGUGCGAGGGCCUGACCACCAGGAAGUUCGGAGGACUUCCCG
rnacentral:ncRNA from 1 species